rnacentral:rRNA from 1 species
CAAGUCCGAGCGGCAGCGGAAAGUAGCUUGCUACUUUGCCGGCGAGCGCCGUACGAGGUGAGUAAUGUCUGGGAAACUGCCCGAUGGAGGGGGAUAACCACUGGAAACGGUGGCUAAUACCGCAUAACGUCUUCGGACCAAAGUGGGGGACCUUCGGGCCUCACACCAUCGGAUGUGCCCAGAUGGGAUUAGCUAGUAGGUGGGGUAACGGCUCACCUAGGCGACGAUCCCUAGCUGGUCUGAGAGGAUGACCAGCCACACUGGAACUGAGACACGGUCCAGACUCCUACGGGAGGCAGCAGUGGGGAAUAUUGCACAAUGGGCGCAAGCCUGAUGCAGCCAUGCCGCGUGUGUGAAGAAGGCCUUCGGGUUGUAAAGCACUUUCAGCGAGGAGGAAGGGUAGUGUCUUAAUACGGCAUUACAUUGACG